rnacentral:rRNA from 1 species
CCGACACGGGUGAGUAACACGUAUCCAACCUGCCGUCUACUCUUGGCCAGCCUUCUGAAAGGAAGAUUAAUCCAGGAUGGCAUCAUGAGUUCACAUGUCCGCAUGAUUAAAGGUAUUUUCCGGUAGACGAUGGGGAUGCGUUCCAUUAGAUAGUAGGCGGGGUAACGGCCCACCUAGUCAACGAUGGAUAGGGGUUCUGAGAGGAAGGUCCCCCACAUUGGAACUGAGACACGGUCCAA